CGUUGAAAUGCCAGUUCUCGUAUGAUCCUCGAAGUUAAGCAACGUGGAGUCUGGUCAGUACUUAGAUGGGUGACUGCUUAGGAAUACCGGGUGCUGUAAUC